UGUCCUGACAAGAUCCAGGUGGUGGCUCAGUAUCUGCUGGCUCACAUGGCCUGGAGGUGAAGGAGACCGGGUCAGAGGAACAGAGGCUGUGGGAGAGGAUUCUGGCAACUGCCCUCUAAAAAUUACUGCUUCUGGCAGCCACGCCCCUGCACGGGUCACGUGACUUACGAAGCCCAAUGGGAAGCCCCUGAUUGCCGCGUGAGGGAUUGUGGGAAAGCCUGCUGAGAGAGGCGGGAAUGACCAGGUGACUCCAGGCGCGUGAGCGAGCACAUCCUAAGCCAUCCAGCCUCAGCUGAUCUGGCCCAGUCCGGAACUGCUCGGCUGACCACAGACUCUUGAGAAAUAGGACAUCGGAGCACAGAGGAGAGGCCAUAUGAGGACAUGGUGAGGUGGCCAUCUGCAAGCCGGGAAGAGAGAUCCCACCAGACACCAAUCCUGCCAGCACUGUGAUCUUGAACUUCCAGCCUCCAGAAUUGCCGGUGGGCGCUUCUGUCGCUGUCCCUCUCUCGCCUUCCACUCAGAUCCACAGGCACAAGCCCUGAAAGCACUUCCUUUGUGGAUGGCAGGUCCCAGAACAGGGCCAGCCAGUAGGCCUGGGGAGAGGGUAUGGAUUUCCUGAUGGGCCAGAGAAAGAGGUGUUCGGACCUGUCAGAAGCCUGCGCCCAGGGCACACUGCUGGCCUGCUUGUACCUGCUGCCCAAGGGCUGAGCCCAGAGUGGUUAGUGUCCAGAUGGGAGCAUCGUGGACCAGAAGAGACCGUCACACAUGCACAGAAUGAAUCCUGCUGUGACAUGAACACUGGCCUCUGAGCCGGUGGGACUUGAUUCAAGUGUCAUCUCUGCCUCCCACUUUCUUGAGGCCUCAGCACUUUGAGUGUAUCCUCUGUCCUGACCUUCAUGGGUUUGCUGGGAAAUCCUCUCACAGUCUCACGGGGGCUCCCUUGUAUGUGGAGAAGACAGUGUAAAGAUAGAGCUGAGAGAUUUGAGGAUGCUGACUUUGAAGUCUGGAGGGAUGUGUCCACAAGCCAAGGAAUGCCUACAGCCACCAGAACCUGAAAGAGGCAAGGGAUGGAUUCUUUCCUAGAGCCUCUGGAGGAGGCACUGCACUGACUAUACCUUGAUUUCAGCCCAGUGAGACUGAUUUCAUACUUUUGUCCUCCAGAACUGUAAGAUGAUACAUUUCUGUUGUUUUGAGGCACUAAACGUGUAGUAAUUUGUUACAGCAGCCCCAAGAAACAUACAGGGGAUGUCUGAUCAUUUUUAUGGUUUGGACAAUGUCCUUGUUUUUGUCCAAGUUCAUGGGUUAUGGGUUGAAUUGUCUACUCCUCAAGUUCAUAUGUUAAAGUUCUAACCCCCAGUACUGUAGAAUAUGACCUUAUUUACAAACGGCCAGUAGCAUGGGCCCCUAAACCAAUAUGACUGGUGUCCUUACAAAAAAGGGGAAUGUAGACAGAGAUGCACUACAGGGGGAGCACCAGGUGGAAAUCGGAGUUCUGUUGCCACAAGCCCAGGAACCACCAGAAGUUAGGAGAGAGGCCCGGAACCGCUCCUUCCCUUGCACCUUCAGAGAAAGCGUGGUCUUGCAGACACCUUGAUCACAGGCUUCCAGUCUCCAGAACUGCCAGACCUUACGUGUUAUCUAAUCCACGUAGUUUGUGGUACUUUGUUACGGCUUCCUGGCCAAUGAGUACAGUUCAGAGAUGAUUACAGAGUGGUCUUGCUUUUGUCUUGCCUGUGACCUUGUCUGACGUUGACAUUGUAUGAAAUUGUUUAUGUUCGACAGGAAAACUCCAGCGCCUAGCUGUGAGGGCCGGGCCAGCUCUCCCAAAUGUCAGGGACCGCUUUUCUCUUUCUUAUCACAGAAUCUUUACUCAUCUGAUAAAUGUUCACUUUAUAUUGUCUUU